UAAUUUAAUUGACUUACAGAAUGGUGCUGCAAUAACCCAUACUAGUAAUGAUAGUAAGACAGAUAUACAAGCGAUCUGGACUCCCCCGUCGCAACCUGUUGGAAACGUCAUAAUAACAGCCACAGUGGUGCAGGACUUUCAGACUUUCUGGAACAACAUUGUAUCAACAUCAAUUCAACAA